UCUAAACAAGAUGGACAGAGGUGGGAGAAGUUUGGGGGCACUCAUUGAGCCUCGCAGGGACCUCCGGGGAGCAGCCCCGGGCACGGGGCGAAUAGCUGUGUGUCUGCUCCCCUGCUACAGUGUUGCCCCGCAGCCACACCGAGCCCCGCUGGCUCGCGAGCCGCCUUGUUACAAUGUGUCCAUUGCACAGGACGGGAACAAGGGGGAGAACGUAGCAGUUUUGCUUAUUAAAGGUCCUGGGGUUGCAACAGCCAAUCAGCGUGGAGCUUCCAUUUUGUUUGAGCGGUGGAAGGCAGCCGGGGAUCUCUCUUUUUGCCUCUUUUCCUGGGCGAGGAGCGUCUCGCCUGGCUUUGGGCUUCAUGUUGUUUUAGCUCAUCUUGUGCUUUUGGUUUGUAAUUUGGCCGUGGUUAGGUAAUUGGCUGGUUAAAGGCACCAGGAGCCCGCAGCCAAUCAGCGCGCAGCUUCCAUUUGGCUUGAGUUAUUAGACGCUGAUCUAAAAACAUCCUUCACCAGACAGCUAAGGAGAGGCCAACAGAUCAGGCAGCCAUUUUUCUGCAAUGGAAUUAAAUGGCCAACUGGGUUUUCCUUUGUUCCAAAAGGGGAUACUUUAUUUGCAUCCACACCAUCCAUUUCAGGACUUCUCAGUGUUGUAUUAAUGUCUGACAACAUUUUAAAGGACUCAAUGAAGAAGGAAGAUAAAAAAGAUUUGGAUUUUUCCUUAUGAUUUGGAAUCCAUCUUUGUCUUGUGUAACUAGGUCAUGGCACACCCUUAUGUCAGCAGUAACAAUUUUGAAUUCAAAAAUAAGUAAAUACAUAUUUUUGUUUGGGUUUUUUAAGCUUUAGAACUAUAUUAUGACUGAACAAUAAAUUUAAAAAAAAGUUCCUGUAUUAAACACUUAAUUCCUGGCCAUUUUUAUUAACUCCUUUGGUGCUUAUAAGGUAACGUUUUAAAUAUAGACUUAGGAAUAGUGAAUUCUGGCAUAAAAAUUUAAUAUGAUAAACUUUUUUUUUCUUUUACAUUGUAAGUACCCAAUCCAUUCUGUCCUUACUAAAGUGUAGUUUUCAUGUUAAUGUUACUGGAGUUGUCCUUAUUUCUGAGCCUUCAUUUGCAUGUCUUUAUGUUUUUUUGUCUGUUUUAGCUAAAACAAUUUUAUGCUUUUAAAAUAUUUUAGUUAUAAAGCAAAAUAUCUGGCGAGAGAUGUUUUUAAAAUGUUUACAUACAGUAAAUGUUAACCAGGUGUUUUCACACUAACAUGUACAGACUAAAAUAUUUGGGGGGAACAUUUUUGAGUUUGUGUAGUCUGGAGAGCCACUGGCUGUCCUUUUAAUGUAGAGUAAAUCUGUCACAGGAACCUAGAUUUAAGCCUCGAGUUCUAAGGAUACUGUCAGUCACCAUAACUGGACAACAUUUUCUAUAGCUUUUUGAUGCUACACCAUUGCCAGAUAAAGAUCUCUAAAUGUCUUAACAAGAUACGUUUUGGCUUGCAAAUUUACCAGAGAAGUGGGGAUACAGAUUAUAUAGCUCUAUAUUUAUAAAUCUGUUUUUUAAAAAGCUAAACAACACAACUUCACCUUCAGAACUGCAUUCAUCAGUGGUGAGCGGCGCUUGUUAGCAGCUCUGCUUUUUGUGGAGGGAGACUGCGGAUCCAUGCUGGCAUUACAUGGCUGUUAAAUUGUUCCACCUCCCCCCCUCCUCUACCUCCAAACAGAAAGAUUAUGAAGGAGGCUUUUAGAAGACGAAUAGACCAAAGGGAACCCCCUUACGUGUUUAUCCAUCUAAUUACUGAAGAAUCUGGCUCGCGAAAAGCAAAGAGGGACCGUUUUCAGAACGGUGACCACGAGCCUGUAAAGGUCUCACUAAAAUGCGCUGCAAAAUCCUUCCCCAGGAAAGGCAGCUACCUUCGAAACGGUCUGAAAAUAGAUCCACAAUGGAGGAGGCUGCCUCCAAAGGAGGGAAACUUUGCAGCCUGGAUUGUUAACAGUCGGGAAGAAGUGACGCAGUUGAUGUUCACAGCAGUUCUGUGCUUUCAUGCAGCUACUGAGCCCAUGCAACUAACUCCCAGCUGAUUUUUAUUUUAAAACCUGCUAAUGCACCAAGCGUGUAAUGCCUUUGCAGCCCAGUGCCACGAGAAAAACCGGGAGGCUGUCUGGCAUUUCAGCAUGCAGCUCCAGGUUGUACUCCAUAUUGUUUGUGAGAGGGGGUGGGGUAGUGGCUCGUAAUGGCUUCUUCUUUGUAAUGCUGUAUUCUUGUCAGGUUGGGGGGCAGCAGGACGUCUGUGUCUCCCAGUGUCUAGCGUUGUUUCUAUUUCCGAUCAUUGCAGGGAGAUGACUGGCCGCCCCCCCUUUGUGAGGCUUGUGGAAAGUGAAGAAAAGUAAGAGGGGGAUUGCAAGACAGCUCUAAUCCCCGAACUCGAGUAAGCUCUCUCCACACCUCCAGAGAGCUGCGGCCUGCUCAUUUUCUCCACUCCCUCUGAGAGGAGUCGGUGAUGAUGAGCAGAGCUCACUUUACUUCCCAACACCUUCCUUGCUGGUGAAGUCCUUCCUUUUCUCUCAGUGUGACUCCUCUCUCACCUGAUCAAUAAUAUGCUGAGUAUAUAUAUUUUGAGAUGGGGCAAAUGUAUCUGCAUGCAGUAUUGCCUGUGCUCCUCCCAUUCCUGGUCUCUUUCUCCUGAGAGGACUCUGUAAACCAGCCUCCUGAGAGAGAUGCUCUCAAGGACCAGGUAUUGGACUACAGGAGGGGGCUGGUGCCACAAAGGACUGGGGGAAUCAGUCUGUAGUGCCCCAAAAUUAUUCCUAUUCGACAGCUGUUCAGUUAUCCAUAUUAAAUAAGCUGAUGAUUUGAGCCCAUCUCCUAGUGUGUAGUUGUUAACAUCAUAGAAAAAAAACCAUGGCUGGCAUUUGUUGGCAGAGAAGUAAGGACUGAAUGGAGAGUAGGGAUGUAAAUGGUUAACUGGUAAGCAUUAGGCUUACCAUUAAACGACCUUAAUCAUUAACCUUGGCGGCCCCACACCAGCUGGAGCAACCUGAGCCCCGGCUGCCUUGUGCCUGCCAGCCAGAGGGACCCCAGCCAUGCCAGGCCGGCCGGAGCAACCUUGGUUAACCAGUUAAAGGAUAUAAUUUUAACUGGUUAACCUUUUUAACUGAUAUUUACAUCCCUAAUGGAGAGGUAGCUUGUACUCUCCUCUGUUCAACGCCUCCAGGGCAGGGUUGAGGGAUAUGUUCUGGGGGAGCGUGAAAGGAGGAGAAGCUUCCACAGCUGCUGCCUACAGUGUGCCUUCUCGGUGGACAGUGCUCUUCAGGUUCUAGGGCUGUGAGCACCACAUCUUUCACCAGUGCUAAUUCACUCAACACUGAGAUUUGGAAAGUCAUGUCAGCCACAUAGAUACUCUGGCCCACAUGAUUGAUACCCCUGAUUUAAGGGAUACCAGAGAAAAUAACCUGAAGAGGAACAGUAUGCCUUCUCUAUGAAUAGCUGCUUUCUAGGUAGAAGACAAUCUGUGGUUUAUGAGCCAGAUCUGUCCCAUCUACGUAAGAGUUGCUGAACGUUCCCUGCCCUUUUUUGCUGAGUUGUGCUUCUAGUUUGGCUGUCAGUUCCAUUUUUCUGCCACAGAUACUUGUCCAGUUUUCCCUUUUUUAGCUCUUUGAACAUUAUGGUAGCAUUUGGAUGGUUUAUAUGCAUAGUUUGCCUAAGCGUUUUGCACUGGGUUAGUGCAUGAGCCACUUUGAGCCAGAUUAAACAGGAACUCUGUUUCCAAGACAUGGAAACGAGUAUUUUCUCAUUGAAAUUUCCUUUUUCCACAUUACUUAAUAUUCUAGAAAAUUGUUUUAGCAGCUCUUUCUGCUGAAAAGAAUUGGACAGUGUAUUUCCUAUUUGGCCAAGUAACAAUUUAAUAAUGUUCUGGUUUGGGCUAAACAUUAUUUAAACUGAUGCAUGUAACAGCCACCUUUCAUUCUGGAUAAAUGUAAAAAAGCAAUUGAGCUCCUUUAUGGAACCAAAACAAACAAACAAAAAAACAACCACCAAUGAGGAGUCCUCGUGGCACCUUAGAGACUAACAACUGUAUUUGGGCAUAAGCUUUUGUGGGCUAAAUCCACUUCAUCAGAUGCACAAAGUGAAAAAUACAGGAGCAGGUAUAAAUACAUGAAAGGAUGGGGGGUUACUUUACCAAGUGUGAGGUCAGUCUAACAAGAUAAAUAAAUUAACAGCAGGAUACCAAGGGAGGAAAAAUCUCCUUUGAAGUGGUAAGAGAGUAGCCAGUUACAGACAGUUGACAGGAAGGUGUGAGUAAAAGUAGGGAGAAAUUAGUAUCGGGGAAAUUAAAUUUAGGUUUUGUAAUGACCCAACCAUUCCGUCAUUAUUCAGGCCUAAUCUGAUGGUAUCCAGUUUGCAAAUUAAUUCCAGUUCUGCAGCUUCACGUUGGAGCCUAUUUUUGUUGUUUUUUGUUGUUGAAGAAUUGCCACUUUUAGGUCUGUUAUUGAGUGACCAGAGAGACUGAAGUGUUCUCCUACUGGUUUUUGAAUGUUAUGAUUCCUGAUGUCAGAUUUGUGUGUAUUUAUUCUUUUGCGUAGAAACUGUUGGGUUUGGCCAACGUACAUGGUAGAAGGGCAUUGCUGGCACAUGAUGGCAUAUAUCACAUUGGCAGAUGUGCAGAUGAACGAGCCCCAGAUGGUGUGGCUGAUGCUGUCCCUUGAAUAGAUAUGUGGACAGAGUUGGCACCAGGGUUUAUAGCAGGGUUUGGUUCCUGGGUUGGUGUUUUUGUUGUGUGAUGUGUAGUUGCUGGUGAGUAUUUGCUUCAGGUUGGGAGGCUGUCUGUAGACGAGGACUGGCCUGUCUCUCAAGGUCUAUGAGAGUGAGGGACUGUCCUUCAGGAUAGGUUGUAGAUCCUUGAUGAUGCGCUGGAGAGGUUUUAGUUGGGGGCUGUAGGUGACGGCUAAUGGCAUUCUGUUACUUCCUUUGUUGGGCCUGUCUUGUGACUUCUCGGUACCCUUCUGGCUCUGUCAGUCUGUUUUUUCACUUCACCAGGUGGGUAUUGCCAUUUUAAGAAUGCUUGAUAGAGAUUCUGUAGCUGUUUAUCUCUGUCUGAGGGAUCAGAGCAAAUGCAGUUUGUAUCUUAGAGCUUGGCUGUAGACAAUGGAUCGUGUGAUUUGGUCUGGAUGAAAGCUGAAGGCAUGUAGGUAAGUAUAGCAGUCAGUAGGUUUCCGGUAUAGGGUGGUAUACUGUUUAGGAAAUGGACCUCUCAUGUGGACUGGUCCAGGCUGAGGUUGAUGGUAGGGUGGAAAUUGUUGAAAUCUUGGUGGAAUUCCUCAAGGGUCUCCUUCCCAUGGGUCCAGGUGAUGAAGAUGUCAUCAGUGUAGCGCAAGUAGAGUAGGGGCAUAAGGGGACGAGAGCUGAGGAAGCGGCGUUCUAAGUCAGCCAUAAAAAUGUUGGCAUACUGUGGGGCCAUGCGGGUACCCAUAGCAGUGCUGCUGACUUGAAGAUAUAUAUUGUCCCCAAGUCUGAAAUAGUUGUGAGUGAGGACAAAGUCAAAGUUCAGCCACCAGGUUUGCCGUGGUGGUAUCAGGGAUGCUAAUCCUGAUGGCUUGUAGGCCAGUUUUGUGUGGAAUGUUGGUGUAGAGAGCUGCUACAUCCAUAGUGGCUAGGAUGGUGUUUUCUGGAAGAUCACCAAAGGAUUGUAGUUUCCUCAGGAAGUCAGUGGUGUCUCGAAGAUAGCUGGGAGUGCUAUAGUGUAGGUCCCGAGGAGAGAGUCUACAUGGAGUACUACCCAAACCAUAGGCUCAAGGGAGGGCUUCAGUAAAAGCUGAACAAUGUGGCCCAAGAGGUUUCCCUGUGGACUGAUAUAGCAAAGGCAGGGGGUAGGGCAGUGACUGAUUAAGCUGGUUGUGAGAGAAGCAGAAAGAGACAACACAAAAACAGACAUAGAGAAGGCAGAACGAGCUUGAGGAGCAUGGCCCUGAGACAAAACCUAGAGAACUUUUUGGCUGAGCGAUGGUUGAAAGAGGCUUGGAACUGUGAGCAAAGAAACUCUCUCCUGUUUGAUUCCUACUGUGCUGAGGGAAACAAGACUUUGACCAUUCUUUGUAAAUAAACAGGACUGCAUACCAAAAACAAAGAAACAAAAACCCCAAAACCUGUCUCCGUCAUCAGUUUCUUCUCCUAACUGAAACAACCUGCAGGACUCUGGAAAUUAGCUAACCACUUGGGAGAAAAAGAGGUAACAAUAACUUGUACUGAUAGUGCUUUACACUGACAUAGUGCCUUUCAUGGGUGGAGCUUGAACUGCUUUACAAACAUUACAAUUCAUAGUAUCCCAUUGACCUAUUUUUGUAUGCACUUUACAGGUAGCACAAAAGUUAAAUGACUUAACCAAAUUUCUAUAGGCCUAGUUUAUACAAAUCUGCACUUUUACUGGUAUAGCUAAUUUCAUUUGUAGUGGGUGGCUUUACUAUACCAGUACAAAGCAGAGUUUCCCCAUUAUAGCUGCAUCCACACUAGGAAUGAUUUGCUGGAAUAGUAUUCUGAUAUUCCAAAAUCAGUAAGUGCUUAGCGUAGAGACAGCCUAGGUGGUUUUUGCUAGUUUAGCUAUACUGGUUGGUAUAACUAUCUUGGCAAAAUGUGUGUAGUGUAGACAAGGCCAUAGAGUGGUGGUGAUGCUGACAAAAAAAAAAAAUUGAUGCUGCUCCUGUGCAGAGACCACAGCCUACCAUGCUGACCAAUACUGUCUCACUGUUUACUUAUAUUCCCCCUAUAUGCAUCUGUGGUCUCUUAUGUUAUAUUUAGAUUGUAAACUGUUUGGGACUGGGACUGUCUCUCUGUUCUGUGUUUUUACAGCACCUUGAACAGUGCGGUCCUGGUCCAUGACAAGGGCUCCUGGGCGCUAUGGUCAUACAAAUAAUAACAGUAGAGCAGGGAAAUGAAUUCAGUAUCCAAACUUCUGCUCCCUCACUCUGAACACUAGCUCACACUUCCUGAAAGGCAUGUGGGAAAGAUGUUAAAUAUAAUACACUAUUAUCUUUCCUAAACAGGCUUCCUCCCUAAAAUUAAUGUGAAAAUAUAGCCUACCUUGAUGAGAGAACAUUCUGUGUGGUAAUACAGAAACUAGUUUGCUUUGCCACUCAUUGGCAGAAAGCAUAUCAACUUGUCAUUUCCCUGGAAGUAUAGGAUUUGAGGGAAAUAUUAAGAAACUGUUAAGUUCUUAAGUGUUGCUCAAUUACUGAGUCAGCAGUGUAGCACGAUAUUAAUAUAUUCCAUGAUUAGAUUUUUUUUUUAAGACAAUGCAAAAAUCUGUAAAUUGAAAAUUGUAGUCCUGAGGCAGGAGCUUCAGGAUUAAAUUAACAAUUCAAAUUAAAAACAAGUUGAGCUAUUUACAGGAUCAGAUUUUUUUUUUUAAUUUGAAGAUUAUAUGAGUCAAAAUAUACGUUUUUUAGAACAUUGUUACACAGAAGAAGAAAAUUCUGCCUCAGGACUGGUUGAAAAGAGUUUUGACUGUUUACUAAGUUUCUGUUUACCUUUUUAGCACCAGAUUUCAUUCCUGUUGAACUAUCAGAUUUCAGUGAGGCUCUGCACUUAAGACAGGGCUAUGCCUGACUGCAUCACAUCACAAGGUAUUGACAUGUAUGGGAAUUAUAUGUUCCUGUGUGUGAUUGAGAUAUAUAUAUAUCACACCAUGCUCUAAAACAUAUUUUAAUCACAUUAUUAAAGAGUUGUGCCUGAAUAUUAAAAAAAAAUGACUAUUUGGCAUCUAAUUUCUGGGAUAGAAUGCUUCCAGUUUCCUCUGCCUUGGCUUGAUACCUGCAACAAUUAUAAGAUGAAUUUCAAGUGCUGCAGGGUGGGAUUUACAGAUUACUCAUGUUAAUUCCAACCUAAAUUCUCCUCCUGGGCCUUCAGAGUAAAGUGGAUACAAAUAAAUGUUUUUAAUCAGAUUUUAUUUAAAUUUGUUUUUAUUUAAGUGUAUUUUUAUUUUUAAAUAUAAACAUGCUUAAAUUCAAUUUGAAAUUGACAACCUAUGUUAAGAGCUAAAUUUAUGUAAACUAUUAAAAUAAAAUUUAAAAAAUAUGCUUCAUCAAUGACCCGUCUUUUGAAUUUUAAUGAAUUAAAGGAUGUUACUUUUUAAAUUUAUAUAUAGAAUUAGGGCUAAACAUCUUUAACUUUUGAGAUCAACUCAAGCUUUAUAAAUACGUCACAAUAUCAUGCAUCUAAUUAAAUCUGUCUGUCUCUCUCUGGAUAUAGAUAUAUAUUACUUUCAGUCUUUACAAUGGAGAGAAUGCUGCUAUUUACAUUUUUCCAAAUGUAAGUUAUUUCAGUUUCUGUUGCACAGAAAAGAUUUUGCCUUAAUUACUUUUUGUUUUCAGUUUAGCUAGCAGGUGGAGAGAGAGUUAAGCACCUAAACUCCUGCAAAUCUCACUAGGCACCUGUCUGGAUCUUUAGGUACAUAUCCAUGGUGACAGGAAACGAUCCAUCAGUUCACUAUUUACUGUUCAUUCUUCCAUUCUUUUGCAUUUAAAACUGAUUUAUUAAACAUGUUUUGAUAAACUUACUUUUUCUUGUUAUAAUCCAGCACAUUUAAGGAAGUUUUAUUUAAUAAAUAGAUGCGUCUGACAAAGUGUGAAUUCACCCAUGAAAGCUUAUGCUCCAAUACAUCUGUUAGUCUGUAAGGUGCCACAGGACUCCUUGUUGUUGUUUGUUUAAUAAAAACAUUUUUAAAAUGUCAUUUUUGUAUAUUUUAAUCAAAUUUCUAUUUCUGUUCAAAUGCAGCUUGAUACAAAUAGCAAGUAAAAAAAAUCUAAUAAGAAAUGAAUCAUUCACCAUUCUCUAAUAUAAAAUAAAAAUUAAAACUCUGAAUAAAUGUAUAUUAAGCUACAUAAUUACUUAAGUAUAUAUGUAAAGAUAUAGUGCUGUCCUUGCUAGUGCAAAAAACAAACAAAAAAACACCACCAAAUUUGGUGCAUAGGCAAUCAAAUGUGUUUUUAAUUAUUAUACCAACCAAUGAAAGAGGUUUAUUCUUUAGAAAAAUAAAAAGUACAAAUGCAAAACAAGAUUAAAUUCAGUUAUGUAAAUCAGUUUUCUGUUUGCUGAUCUGAUUUUUAAAUCACUUUUAUUAACAUCAGUCCAUGCCAUUUGAGUGUAUUUACCCUCUGACUUUAGGCAGACUCUGCCAGCUCAGUGUAUGAAAGCACAAGGUCUUUGUCAGACUGCAUUUUGCUGUUGUAGGAAAGCACAAGGUCUUUCAUACAACAGCAAAAUGCAGUCUGACAAAUCAAACCUGCAAAUUUUGAAUUUAAAAAAAAAACUGCAAUCGUGUAGCUUUUUAUUUUUCGAAACUUAAUACUAAUAACUGGUAGGUUUUUUGUUGAUGUAUUUUAAUUUUUUUAGUGACUUCAGUACUGCUGAAAAGUAUGGGAUUGACAGCUCUUGACCACUGAGUUCUCUUAUUGAUCUACUGUAAAGCAAUAUCCUUGGCACUGGCAUUACAAACUUCCCCACGGGGUCCUAAUCAUUUGCCUCAACCUUAACAUGAUGUGCUUUCACUACAUCUAGGGGCAGAGGAGUUCAGUCUUUAUGCCCCAUCAAUCCCUGUCCUCUGCUGAAACUGUCAAUUAGUGCCAAUUGUGAUGAGGGCAGCAAUCACUGAAUACUGCUCUAAGACUACUAAACAUCUCUCAUUGUGUACCCAAGAUUAUAUAAUGACUCUCAGUAGCUACCAGUCUGGGCUAGAUUUGAACUGGCAACCCAUAAGUGAAAGGCUCUGUAUCCCAAUGCAAAGAACCAAAUAUCUGUUUAAAGCAAAAAUCUAUUCCUUAUUGCCUUUUUAUAUUAAUUACAACAGAAUUUUUAAGUGCAAUCCCAGCAUCCUCUUCCCACUUAGAAUGGUAAUACACAAAAUUUCUCUCUUCUUCCACUGUUUUCAUGUCACAUUAUCUACCUAAAAAAAAUGCUGAUUUUUCUUUCCAAGAAAAAGACAAUAAUUCAGGUGGAUUGCUGUGUAGUAAUACCUGCUUAACUGUUUGACUUUAACUUCAGUUUGUAAAGUAGAUAAAACAUUUUAAAAUGAUAGGGUUCCAGCAUGGUUCUUGUGGAAGUGUGGACACUGUUUUCUCUUUUCCUCCUGAUAACUGUCACCAAAUCACAAUAGACAGUUCCCCUCCACUAAAUACACUACAGCAUGGUUUUAUGACACCAGCAGGCAAAAAAUCCUUCUCCACCUUCGUUAAAGAACCCCUCUUCUAAUAUUAAUUUUUAAACAUGGCUAUACCUAUCAUCAUUUUGCUUCUAGUGUAAACAGGACCCCAAUUUAAUGUACAGUCUGUUUCAUUUGUAUCUUGUGGCAAACAUAAACCAAGUAUCAAUUGAUAAAGUGGUGAGCAGUGUACAUUUAAUUUGGUAACCGAUAUUAGUGGUAACAAAAAUGCAAUAUAGACAAAACAUUUUACAUACCACUGAUCAGCAGAUUCUUGUUUUUUCGAGUCACUGCAUGUGUUUAUAUGGUUAGUGCUUCACAGUAUGUAGUGGAUAAGAGUUGAGCUGUAAUGUACUGGUGCUAGACUUGUUAUAUCUGCAAUAAAUAAAUAAAUGGGAUAAACACAGGUUUUAAAAAUCAUAUUUGCAGUUUGUUAAUAAAGGGCCAGGCCCUGCUUCCACUGAAGUCAGUGGAAAAACUUCCACUCAGGAUCAGACUCAUAAAUGCACACACUUGUAUUACCACAACUAGAAAAAAUACUUAGCAUUUAUAUACUACUUUAUGUGCAAAACAUUUUGCAAACAUUAAUUUAAAAUAAUGAAUGUAACCAAAAUAUUUAAGAGUUACAUUUUUCAAAUGUCAGGUUGACUAUUACUUUAAAAUACUAUAUCAAGUUUAGAGUAGACUAAAUUGCUCACUUGUAUUAUAUUGAGUCCUGAAUCUAAAAUGCUUCCCCUAAAACAAAAUAUAAGAAGUGUAGAUGUGGUUUUUGUAAACAAUCAAACAAAUCCUACCUUGAAUGAGUUAUUGAAUUACAACUCUAUGAAUUACAGUAAUUCAUUCAAGGGACAUGAAGCAGCAUAUUUAUGGGUUAUAACAUAUCUGUUGAUUUUUGAGAUGGGUAUAAAGGCCUGAUCCAGCAAAGUGCUGAGCCAUUCCUGGGCAGUGCUGAGUUCCUUCAACUGAAGUCCAUACAAGUUGAGCCCCUUACCAUCUUGCAGGAUCAGACUUUAAGAGCAUGUUUAGGUCUGGAAUGUUCAUAAGGUUUUGUAUUCUCUUUUGACAGAUGUAUAUACUCUAAAUGUUCAUGUUAUGUUUUCUCAAAAAUAAAAUGUUAACAUCAUAUAGGAGUGAA